GAAGAUGAUGAUAUUAGAUGUCGCCCCAGUCUUACAAGCAUAUAUGAUGCUUGAUGGUGAUUGACACUCCAUUAUCUGAUUC
rfam:Jatropha curcas cultivar GZQX0401 scaffold734_44, whole genome shotgun sequence.